rnacentral:snRNA from 1 species
GGAUGUGAGGGUGAUCUGGCUGUGACACCUGUCACAGCAGUGACUGCUUCAGCUGAUCAGCUUGUCCGGGCAAGUCCCCACCACCACCACCACCACCACACCACACACCAGCCCCUUGUGUCCUUCCUGAAGUGUCACGCUCAGUCAGAGGACAACAACCUUCCCAAAUAGAGACACACCGGCCUUUGGGCAAGUGCAUAUGAGCAGAACCUCCAAACAAGCACUCAGGAAGAAACUAAUCGGGGGCCAGGAGGUCACCACCCACUAGAGUAAACAUUUUACCAUUGGGAGGACCAGGGUUCAAGCCUCCAGCUCCCUGUGG